rnacentral:tRNA from 1 species
CACGAGAUAGUUUAAUGGCAGAACACCGCAAUAUGCGGAGAUUUUGGUUCGAAUCCAAAGAUCGUGA